rnacentral:rRNA from 1 species
GAUGAACGCUAGCUACAGGCUUAACACAUGCAAGUCGAGGGGCAGCAUUUCAGUUUGUUAGCAAACUGGAGAUGGCGACCGGCGCACGGGUGAGUAACACGUAUCCAACCUGCCGAUAACUCGGGGAUAGCCUUUCGAAAGAAAGAUUAAUACCCGAUGGCAUAAUUAGACCGCAUGGUCUUAUUAUUAAAGAAUUUCGGUUAUCGAUGGGGAUGCGUUCCAUUAGGCAGUUGGUGAGGUAACGGCUCACCAAACCUUCGAUGGAUAGGGGUUCUGAGAGGAAGGUCCCCCACAUUGGAACUGAGACACGGUCCAAACUCCUACGGGAGGCAGCAGUGAGGAGUAUUGGUCAAUGGGCGCAGGCCUGAACCAGCCAAGUAGCGUGAAGGAUGACUGCCCUAUGGGUUGUAAACUUCUUUUAUAUGGGAAUAAAGUUUUCCACGUGUGGAAUUUUGUAUGUACCAUAUGAAUAAGGAUCGGCUAACUCCGUGCCAGCAGCCGCGGUAAUACGGAGGAUCCGAGCGUUAUCCGGAUUUAUUGGGUUUAAAGGGAGCGUAGGUGGACAGUUAAGUCAGUUGUGAAAGUUUGCGGCUCAACCGUAAAAUUGCAGUUGAUACUGGCUGUCUUGAGUACAGUAGAGGUGGGCGGAAUUCGUGGUGUAGCGGUGAAAUGCUUAGAUAUCACGAAGAACUCCGAUUGCGAAGGCAGCUCACUGGACUGCAACUGACACUGAUGCUCGAAAGUGUGGGUAUCAAACAGGAUUAGAUACCCUGGUAGUCCACACAGUAAACGAUGAAUACUCGCUGUUUGCGAUAUACAGUAAGCGGCCAAGCGAAAGCAUUAAGUAUUCCACCUGGGGAGUACGCCGGCAACGGUGAAACUCAAAGGAAUUGACGGGGGCCCGCACAAGCGGAGGAACAUGUGGUUUAAUUCGAUGAUACGCGAGGAACCUUACCCGGGCUUAAAUUGCAUUUGAAUAUAUUGGAAACAGUAUAGCCGUAAGGCAAAUGUGAAGGUGCUGCAUGGUUGUCGUCAGCUCGUGCCGUGAGGUGUCGGCUUAAGUGCCAUAACGAGCGCAACCCUUAUCUUUAGUUACUAACAGGUCAUGCUGAGGACUCUAGAGAGACUGCCGUCGUAAGAUGUGAGGAAGGUGGGGAUGACGUCAAAUCAGCACGGCCCUUACGUCCGGGGCUACACACGUGUUACAAUGGGGGGUACAGAAGGCAGCUACCUGGUGACAGGAUGCUAAUCCCAAAAGCCUCUCUCAGUUCGGAUCGAAGUCUGCAACCCGACUUCGUGAAGCUGGAUUCGCUAGUAAUCGCGCAUCAGCCAUGGCGCGGUGAAUACGUUCCCGGGCCU